rnacentral:misc_RNA from 1 species
UCUAAAGAGAGAGAGUAAUAGUUAAAGAAGUAUAUAAAUCAUUCUGUACAAUUUCGAUUUCUUCCCUCAUUUCUUUCAUUUCGAUUCAUGAGAUCAGGAAGGAGGUGGUGAAUGAAUGGAGGUAUCAGGUAACAUGGCUACUGUCACGACGAAGUAUUCACAGCCAACAGGAAGACCAUACGGGUUCGUAGUUGAUCCUGAAUUCAAGGACAAACGACUGGUUCCUGUGUCAGAAGUCAGUAUCAACUACG